UACGGGGGGAGCAAGCGUUGUUCGGAUUUACUGGGCGUAAAGGGCGCGUAGGCGGCCACCGCAAGUCGACUGUGAAAUCUCCGGGCUUAACCCGGAAAGGUCAGCCGAUACUGCGGGGCUAGAGUGCAGAAGGGGCAACUGGAAUUCUCGGUGUUGCGGUGAAAUGCGUAGAUAUCGAGAGGAACACCUGCGGCGAAGGCGGGUUGCUGGGCUGACACUGACGCUGAGGCGCGAAAGCUAGGGGAGCGAACGGG
rnacentral:rRNA from 1 species